rnacentral:lncRNA from 1 species
GCAAUACUUAGCUUUGAAAUGAAGAUAAAAUCACGAAAAACAGUAAUUCCAGGGGCAGAACUUCCGGGCAGAACAGUGAUGAAACCAAGGAACAAGAAAGUAAAAUUGUGUAAAGCUUUUAAUCGAUUAUAGCAUAAGUUUGUCAGGAAAGUCGUGUCCUUUACAAAGAUAACAGAGCUCACUAUUUAUAGCUACGCCUAGGGAACAAGGCCCUAGGAUCGUUCCCUUCUUUAAUGUCACUUAUGAGGGCCAUUGAUGAAGGUGUAGCGGCGAGCAUAAAUGACAAAUUCUCUGUAAUGACAGCGCAUUAAAUGCUGUGGAAUAAUGCUACCGGUCGGAGGGUAUUUGUUGCAUCUUUAUGAGUGUCAUUCUUUCCUGUGACAAACGGGAUAAUUGCCUUCGGUUCUAACUAUCCCCGCCUUAAGUUUCACGUGUCACUCUCUUUAGCGGCCACUUAGCAUAGCGUAUUUUACCGUAUACAAUGAUAUUGUUUAUCUUCCAUGCUAUGAAAAAAUUAACGAGAGACCUCCUUUUCUUUUUUGUUUUCAUUUUCUUCCGGUUCCAUUUCCGCUUCCCUUGUUUAAUUUCAUUAACUGCGAGAAAAUAAAAAUAUAAUAAAUCAAAAAAUCUUUCUACGAAAUCUAAAGCUGUCAAAUUUAAAAUAAAACUAGUGAACUUGUCACACUUCUCGUGGAUUUACCGAACAGUCAUCUUCUAAAUUAAAUACAAUAUGAGAAGUUAACAUGUUCUUUUACAACUAUAUUUUUUGAAAUAAGCUAUUAAAAAUGCAAUUUAUUUUGUUUUUGUGCAUUUCUAAAUAUGUAAAACAUAUUUCGAAAAAAAAAAUCAAUAAGCAAAUCUGCACUGACAAAUUUAAUGUGCUAACUAUUGUAUCCUUAAUUCCAACACUCCUUUAGACGUAGGGAGUAAAGGAAAAAGAAUGGUCAAAAGCUGUGGUUGACUAGUUGGAGCAAGACGUGUUUGUAGUCCUUUUUUUCAACGAUUAACUUAUUUAAAAGGUUCUUGCCACCGUAAAACUUAGAAUUCAAGGAAGUUUGAUUACUUAAUUGGAUACACUUUAAUUCAAGACAAUUAUCAUAAUAACAACAAUAAUAACUACGUCUCUGUCAAAACAAGUUGGGGUCGGCGAUAUGGAUCCUUAUUUCUUUCAUUAAGCUCAACUCAUAUCAUCAUCAUUAUCGAAAUAAAAUAAAAGUAUAAUUAAAAAAAUAGAUAUGUAAUAAUAAUAAUAAUAAUAAUAAUAAUAGCAGCAGCAGCAGUAAUAGAAGUUCUCUACCAAGUCUAAAACCUAUUUCUAACUUGUAGGUAUCACAUAUAUGAAUUUUCUUCUUCUAUUGUGUCCUAUCUUUAGCUAAGUCUGCACAUUCAUCUUAGCAUUCGCAUUUUUGCAACACUCAUCUUGUGGAUAUGUUGAAUUUAGCAACCCAACAUUCACUACCAUAUAACAUUGUCGGUCUUAUAGAUGUUCUAUAGAACUUACCUUUCACCUUGGUAGGCAUCCUAAAAGCACAUAACACCCCGGUAUCACUUCUCUAUUUCAACCAUCCAGUUCUAAUCUUAUGAGUAACAUUUUCAUCUAUCUUUCCAUUAUCUUAAAACAACGAGCCUGGAUAUAUAAAUCAUUUGCAUUUUGGCACCUAAUUCCAUCUAAUCUCACCUUAACUUCGCUCUUCUCAUGCUGACUAAACUUGCAAUACAUAUAUACAGCCUUACUUUUACUUAUCUUAACACCCUUACUCUCUAAAAUGCUUCUUCAUAACUCAAGCUUUUGGUUGACACCCUCGCUAGUUUCAUCAAUUUGCACAAUAUCAUUAGCAAAUAGCAUACAUUACCUCUUCUUGUAUUGUAUUGCUCAUCCAAAAUAAGGGUAAAUUAGUAGGGACUCCAUUUAGAACCCUAGUAUAAACCCACUGAUGGGAAACUCCUUUGUAUCUCCGCUACUGUUUUCACACUAGCAAUAGCUCCUUCAUGAGCUUUUUCACACUAGCAAUAGCUCCUUCAUGAGCUUUAUGACAUUUAUAUAUUUAUUAUGAAUUCAUUUCUUCUCCAUCACCUACCAAAGGACCUUUCAUGAUACUCUAUCAUAUUCUUUUUCUAGCUUAAUAAAAUUCAUGUAUAGAAAUUUUUCCUUCCCCGAUAAAUUUUCAUUGAACUUCUUAGCAAGAAUAUAAUCUCUAUUGUAGAUCUACUAAACAUAAAUGCAAAAUGAUUCUCUAUCACUCUUGUCGUGUUCCUAAGUAUAAUUUAUUACUCUCUCGCAGAGUUUCAUCGUAUGACUCAUGAGUUUAAUACCACGAUAGUUCGCACAACUUGAAUAUCUCCUUUAUUCUUAUACAUUGGAAUCAAGGUACUCUUCUUCAAUUCUUCAGGCAUCCUACCACUUCUUAGUAUGGCAUUAAAUAGCUUAGUGAGACAUACUACUCCAACCUCCCCAAGACAGUUCCAGACCUCUAUAGGGAUACAAUCUAGACUAAAAGCUUUUCUAAUCUUCAUAUUUCCCAUGGUAUCCUUUACCUCUAUCGUCCUAAUUCUACUGGUGUAGCUAAAGUUUUUAUCAUAAACAAAUUUUUAGAGGCCUAAAAUGCUACCCUCUCGGUUCAAGUUGAACAAUUGAUCAAAAUAUCCUCUCCAUCUCUCCUUGAUCUCGUUAUCUCCUUUCGACACUUGUUGACAAUCGUCUUGAAUAUACUUCACCUGGUUUAAAUCCUUACCUCUCUUCUCUCUUUGUCGUGCUAGUUGAAACACUUCUUUUUCCCUGCACUUGUUCCUAGCUUUUGGUGCAAGAUAUCUAGAACUUCCCUUGGAGCUUUACUCAUAGCCUUCUUAGCUUCCUUCUUAGCUCUUUCAAUCUCUUGUAUUCUUUAAAGGCUUCUUCGUCUUUUGCUUUUGACAACUUCCUAUAAUACUCUCUUUUGGCUUUCAAUCCAAGACAUUUAUGGUAACAAAUAUAUGUAUUACUAAAAAUGGUUUGUAUAUGAGUCAUUUAGCUUACUUGAACUUUGUACUAAAGAUAUAUAUCUGGUUUUCUAGAUUCUAGGUGUAUAAGAUUCUUUAUUAAAAAAAUAUAAUGUUAGAAUAUUCAAAUAACUGAUACACUUUAAGUCAUUAUCAGUGACAUAGAUUGUUACCUUAAAGAAGAGAAGCUGCCAAACACGCAAGCACAUGGUAGCCAAGUGUGAACGAGAAAGCCUUGUCUUAUUCUAUUAAUUAACAAGAAUAUAUAUACAAGUCAAAUAGUAAAUCCUUGUCCUAAAAAAUAUGAAAAACUAGUCCUAACAAAUGUGAAAAGAAAAACUGUCCUAACAAAUAUGGAAAAUAAAAACUGAAAACUCUCCUAACAAAUAUGAAAAAGAAAAACUCUCCUAGUCCUAAACAUACAAUAUAUUUACUAUCAAUAUGUAUACCUAAAUACACACGCUUUAAUACCCUCUCUCAAGUUGGCACAUGCGGAUUACAAAUGCCCAACUUGCAAGAGAGAAACAUACCGAGAUUUUUUGAAUGCCUUCAUAAAAAUAUCUGCCAGCUCAUGUGAAGACACAAAGCUAGUACGAAUAUUCUUACUGUAAAUCUUGUCACACAUAAAAUGACAGUCCACUUCAAUAUAUUUCGCUCUUUUAUGAAAGAAUGGAUUCUUUGCUAUGUGCAAUACUGCUUGACUGUCACAAUAAAGAUGAAUAGGGGAAGUGCAAGUCACUCCCAAACUAGAUAAAAUUUCCUUCAACCAUUUCACCUCACAGAUUGUCAUUACUAUAGAAUAAUAUUCAGCCUCUGCAGAUGAUUGAGAGGUAUGUUUCUUCUUAGUCUUCCAAGAUAUAGGUGAGUCACCAAAGAUAAACCAGCCUAUGAGCGAGCAUCGAGUCAAGGUACAACCAGCCCAAUUGGAGUCACACCAUCCAUAGAGACGUAGAUCACAUUUGCUUCUCAACAAAAUACCUUGUCCCGGAUUCCCUUUCAAGUACCAAACAACCCGUAAAAUUGCAUCCUAAUGCUCCUCUUUUGGUUGCUGCAUGAACUGAGAAAAUGUAUGAACAGUAUAAGACAGUUCCGUCCGAGUAAAGCACAGAUAAAUAAGUUGACCUAUCAAACGACGAUAGCACUUAGGGUCAUCAAACUCCCGUCUACCCACUAAUGCAGCCAAUGAUUUUGUUCCAACUACAUUCCCACAUGUUUAGAACCUAAUAACCCAACCUCUGAGAUAAUAUUCAAGGUAUAUUUUUGUUGGCUCAAGAAAAUGCCUUUUGAUUUUCUGGAGACUUCUACUCCCAAAACAUAUUUCAAGCUACCUAAAUCCUUCAUGUAAAAGCAUUUGCCAAGAUAUAUUUUGAACUCACUGAUAGCCUUGGGCUCACUGCCAGAUAUAAUCAGAUCAUCAAUAUACACAAGAACAUUACUCUAACUUCACCCUUUUUCAUAGUAAAGAGAGAAUAAUUAGAGUAUGAAUGCUUGAACCCAUAGUCCUCCAAGGCAGUCGACAACUUAGCAAACUAACACCUCGGUGCUUGUUUUAACACAUAAAUGGAUUUCCUAAGUCUACACACUUUUCUUGACUUGAAACUCCAAACCUAGGAGGCAAUUUCAUGUACACCUCCUCUUGAAUAUCCCAUGCAGGAAAGCAUUAUGUACAUAUAUUUGAUGUAACUCUCAAUUCUUUGACACAACUAUAGCCAAAAAUACACCGACAGUCACCAUCUUUGCCACUGGGUAAAUAUUUCAUUAUGGUCGAUCCCCUCUACUUAAUGAUUCUUGAGAAUAACUAGUCGGGUCUUGUGUCGCUCAAUUGUUCCAUCAGAGUUGUACUUUACCUUGUAAAUUCACCUGCAACUGAGAGCCUUUUUGUUAGGAGGUAAAUCCUCUAUUACCCAUAUUCCAUUAUUCUCAAGUUCCUGUAUUUCUAAUUUCAUUGCUUCUCUCAACUUUCCAUCUUUCACAACCUCAAAAAAAUGAGCUGGUUCAUGUGCUGCAGUGAUUGCUGCAAGGAAAGCCCUUUGUUGUACAGAGAACUUAUUACAAUUCACUUAUUGUGUUAAAGGAAAAUGCAUACUUGAGUGACGUCGUGAAGUGUAUGGAGGACAAGAUGGACUCAAUUUCUGGACAACAUUAGUAAUAUAAUCACACAAUCGGACCGAUGUAUGUUUCUUGCAUUGUACGCAUCACAACUUGUAACGACCCAGCCGGUCAUUUUGAGCAUUUGUAUUUUGUUCAGCUGUUUGAAUUCUGAGUAGCUCCAUGUGAUGUAUUAUGACUUGUGUGAAUCGUCGAUUUUGGUUUUCAGGCGAUUCAGGAUUGAUUUGGAAGAAUAAUUCUCAUUUUAGAAGCUUUAUGUUUGAAAAAUUAACCAAGUGUGACUUUUGAGUAUUUGGUCUCGGAUCGGAGUUUUGAUAGUUCUGUUAGGUCCGGAUGGUGAUUUUGGACUUGGUUUCAUACCUAGAUUGCAUUUGGAUAUUUCAAGAAGGUUUCGGUACUAUAUGGCGAAAGUUGGCAAUUUGAAGGUUUGGGAUGUUCAUAAGUUUGACUGAGAGUUGACCUCGAUGAUAUCGGGUUCGGAUUGUGGUUCUAGAAAUUGAAAUAGCUUUUUUAAGUCAUUUGGGACUUGUGCGCAAAAUUUGAAGUCAUUCCGAGUUGAUUUGAUGAGGUUCGACACGCGUUUUGGAAGUUGAAAUUUCAAAAGUUCUUCAAGUUUGAUUUGAGAUGCGAUUCAUCGUUUAGAUAUUAUUAUGUAUAAUUUGAGGCCUCGAGUAGGUCCGUGUUAUGUUUGGGACUUGUUGGUAUGUUCGGACGGAGUCCCGAGGGGCCCGGGUGAGUUUCGAAGGUGGUUCGGUCAUUUGGGAUCAUGUUUGUUGAUGCUGGUUUUGGCUGGUUUUGAUGUGACCGCACCUGCGGAUACUUGGGCGCAGUUGCAGAGCCGCAAAUGCGGUCACAUGCUCGCAGAAGUGAUAUAAGGAUGAGCUUGGGAACUUCACUGAUGCGGAAAAAUAGGGCGCAUAUGCAAUUGCGCAGAAGGGAUUGAUGGUACCCAGAAGCGAGGUGAAGUGCAGAAGCGGGGUAUGGACGUGCACCUGCAAGGGCGCAAAAGCGGACAACUUUUCACAGGUGCGAUAAGUCAUCUAGUAAGUGGAGUCCGCAAAAGCGUGGUUUUUUUUUUGCAAAAGCGACGGCGCAGAAGCGGUCGAUAUUUUGCAGAUGCGGAAAUGACAGGCAGAUUGUAUUUAUAUAUAAGGGAUGGUUCAUUUUAUCAUAUUUUGGGAUUAAGAGCUCGGUUUUGGGCGAUUUUGGAUAGAAUUUUCACCACAUGCAUUGGGGUAAGUAUUUUUGACUCGGCAUUGAUUAUAUUUCAUGAUUCUAUCGUCGAUUUUGGCAUUUGGAUUAUGAAUUAUAAAGAGAAAUUGGGGGUUUGUCUAAACAUUCCUAAAGUGAAUUUUUGAGUUUUGAACAUCGAUUCAGAGUCGGAUUUGAGUGAAUUUAGUAUGGUUGAACUAGUAAUCGAAUGGUUUGUCGAAAUUUGUGAGUUGUCAGAGUUUGUGAGUUUUAUCGGGUUCCGAGGAGCGAGCCCUGGUUUGACUUUUUGGUUGACUUUGAGUAAUUGAGUAAAGAGUCGACCUUUAUCGUUUGGGUUUGUUUCCUAUGGCAUUAUUUGAUGAUUUUGAGUUUUUUUUGGCUAGUUUUGAGUCGUUUGGAGGUUGAUUUGCACGGGAUGGCAUUUCUAGAGUGUUGUUUGGCUUGGUUGGUAUUGGAUUUGGCUUGUUCGAGGUAAGUAAUAUAUCUAAACUUGAAUUUGAGGGUAUUUAACCCUGGGAAAUAUGUUAUAUGAGAUAUAUUGGGGUAACGCACAUGCUAGGUGACAGGUGUGUGGGUGUGCACCGGAGUAAUCAUUAUCAGAGUUGCCUUUUAGAUAAUUACCGAAAUUAUUUUGCUAUCAUACCUUGUUAUAUCUGUGUUUUCCCUACCUGUUUGAUUAUUUGAGUUGUGAUUCAUCUUAGAAAUUAUGUUUAGGCUAUGCGCUUAUUUGGUUUAGAUCUAAUUAGGUUGUUCUGUUAUUUUAAGCUAUCUGAAUUAACUUUGGUUAUACACUUAGUCAUGAUUCUUCAUUUUCAUAUCAUAUCGCAGUCUCUGCUCAUUAUUCGAUAUUACAUCACACAUUGUUGUUGUUUUCCAUAUGUGGUACUGUUUAGACUGAGUGAUAUGAGAUUGUGAGAUCUUGAGACUUGAGAGGUUGAUGACUUAGAUGGGCCUUAGAGCCGUGUUGAGAGUGUUAUUUGGAUCGGGAUGCACGCCGCAAUAUGCCUUAUUAGCUUAUUGUUAUUAUCUGGAUCGGGUUGCACGCUACAGCAGGCCAUAUUGGUUUUAUUAUUAUUAUAUGGAUCGGGUUGCACGCCGCAACAUGCCUUAUUGACUUUAUUAUUAUUGUGGAUCGGGCUGCACUCUACAGUAGAAAUAUUGGUUUUUGAUUUACGCUUGGGCAGGAUCCGUCCCUCCGGAGUCUGACAUACCAGUAGUGAGCACAGGCACGAUGAUAUAUACACACGUGCUUUGGUGAGGGGCUUAUAAGCCAGGCACUCGUACAGUGUUGAGUGAUUUUGGGUGUGUGUAACGAAGUGGGAAAUUGGAAACAGACAGCUGGAGUAUGUUGAAGGUGAGAGUACCUGGUGAUACCAUUGUGAAAUCAUUCAUUUGACAUGCAUACUUGGCAUGUAGGCAUAGAGAUGCAUUUUUCUUAUGCUAGACGGUAUAUGAUAAUUGAUGACUUGACAUGUAUAUUAACAUGUAGACAUAGAGAUGUAUUUUACUUACACUAAUUGGUAAAAGAAAAAAUUCUUAUCUGGUGUUGUGAAUUGUGAAUACAGUUCUUUUGAUAAACUCAUGUUUAGUUAAUUUUCAGUUGUAAUAUCUCGACUUGACUGUUAUACCUGGAAAACAUGUCUACUUUUUUGUAACUGUGAACGAGCUGAGCAUGAUAUCUUUUGAGUCGUUACUUUUACUGCCUCCAUUAUAUUAUUAUGAGCUGAUAUUGGCUAUUGGUGUUGGACACUGACCUUCUUCCGAGCUCGUCACUGCUUUCAACCAAAGGUUAGGUUUGUUACUUAUUGAGUACAUGGGGUCGGUUGUACUCAUACUACACUUCUGCACCUUGCGUACAAACGUUGGAGCUGACAUUGCUGUGUAUGGCAGGAGCUAGCAUUGAAGAUGUACCUACGUUACGGUUAUAGCUGCCUCUUGCUGUUUAUAACUUUAGAUUUGUAAAUAUGUUUAUGUAUAUUUCGAACAGAUAAAUAUAUUUAUUUCGUACCAGCUUUGUAUAUUCUAAGUCUUAGAAGCUCAUGACUUGUACUACCAAUCCUUGGAAUUUUGUAUAGAAAGUUCAAAUAUUUUAUUUAUUGACUCUUAUUAUCCUAAUUGAGUUGUGUUGACUAUCAUUUGGCUUACCUAGCGGGUUGGUUUAGGUACCAUCACGACUAGCUGGAUUUUGGGUCGUGACAAGUUGGUAUCAGAGCCCUAGGUUCAUAGGUUCUACGAGUCAUGAGCAAAUGUUUAGUAGAGUCUUGUGGAUCUUUAUGAUGACGUUCAUACCUAUCUUCGAGAGGCUACAGGGCAUCUAGCAUGAAUUUUCCAUCUUUCUUUACUUAUCGUACGGCAUUGAUUCAUCUUGAAGCGUAUCUCUUUGAAUUCCUUCCACUCACUCGUAUGUUAUAUGAGCGCUCGGUAUCAACUGUUCACCAGCGGCUUGUGAUUCCAUGGAUGGGGCGAAAGAUGUGUUUUUUGUGUUCUGGUGAUGGGUUAGUCUGGAAGACUUAAGGCCAGGUUUGGACUGCAGCUUGGGCUCGGUAGUUUCAGUUGUGUAAGCAUGCACCUUUGGACUUAUAUGUUCGGUAGUGUCCCUGGGAGUGGGACUUAUGGCUUGGUGAGUGGUUGAAUGGCUAUAUGAUGAGUAUGAUGUGACUAUGGGAUGUGUUUAGAUAGCUUAGGUGUGGUGAGAAGAGUUUUCUUGGGAUGUGGAAAAGACUAUUGGGUGCUUGAUUCCUCUCUUAUAAUGAAUUUCGAAUGUUGGAAAUUAGGUUCCAAGUCUUAUGGACUAAGGUUGAAGGAAGAUUCUUCAGUUAUGUUGAGUUGACGGACUUAUAUGGAUUAGGGUGACGUGGCAUCACCCCAGGGUGUGUGCAUGGUAGGUUACAUAGUGAUUUGAUGGCUUUGGAAUGACUCUUGGCACGUUCGAGGACGAACGUAUGUUUAAGUGGGGGAGAAUGUAACGACCCAAUCGAUCAUUUUGAGUAUUUGCAUUCUUUUCAGCUAUUUGAAGUUUUGAGUUAGCUCCAUGUGAUGUAUUAUGACUUGUGUGAAUCGUCGAUUUUGAUUUUCAGGUGACUCAGGAUUGAUUUAGAAGAAUGAUUCUCAUUUUAGAAGCUUUAAGUUUGAAAAGUUGACCAAGUGUGACUUUUAUGCAUUUGGCCUCGGAUCGAAGUUUUGAUGGUUCCGUUAGGUCUGGAUGGUGAUUUUGGACUUGGGCGUAUGCCCAGAUUUGCAUUUGGAUGUUUCAAGGAAGUUUCGGCACCAUUUGGCGAAAGUUGACAAUCUGAAGGUUUUGGAUAUUCAUAAGUUUGAUCGGGUGUUGGCCUCGAUGAUAUCAAGUUCAGAUUGUGGUUCCAAGAAUUGUAAUAGCUUUGUUAUAUCAUUUGGGACUUGUGCGCAAAAUUUGAAGUCAUUUUGAGUUGAUUUGAUGAGGUUCAGCACGAGUUUUGGAAAUUGGAAGUUUAAAAGUUCUUCAACUUUGAUUUGAGGUGCGAUUCAUCGUUUUGACAUUAUUAUGUGUAAUUUGAAGCCUCGAGUAGGUCCAUGUUAUGUUUUGGGACUUGUUGGUAUAUUCAGACGGGGUCCCGAGGGUCUCGAUUGAGUUUCGGAGGUGGUUCGGAUCAUUUGGGAUCAUGUUUGUUGAUGCCGGUUUUGGCUGGGUUCUGAUGUGACCGCACAUGCAGAGAUUUGGAUGGAGGUGCAGAGUCACAAAUGCGGUCACGUGGUCGUAGAAGUGAUAUAGGAAUGAGCUUGGGAACUUCGCAGAUGCGGAAAAACAGGGCGCAUUUGUAGUUGCGCAGAAGCGAUUGAUGGUACGCAGAAUCGAGGUGAAGCGCAGAAGCGGAGUAUGGACGCGCACCUGCGAGGGUGUAGAGGCGGGAAACUUUCCGCAUAUGCAAUAAGUUGGCUAGUAAGUGGAGUCUGCAAAAGCAUAGUCUGGUCGCAAAAGCGGCCAAUAUUUCGCAGAUGCGAAAAUGCUGGGCAGAUUGUAUAUAUAUUCGAGGGUUGGUUCAUUUUAUCACAUUUUGGGUUAGAGCUCGGUUUUGGGCGAUUUCGGGGAGGAUAUUCACCACAUGGAUUGAGGUAAGUAAUUUUGACUUGGCUUUUAUUAUAUUCCAUGAUUCUAUCUUUGAUUUUGACAUUUGGAUUAUGAAUUUUAAAGAGAAAUUGUGGGGGUUUUGCCAAGCCAUUCCUAAAGUGACUUUUUGAGUUUUGAACAUUGAUUGGGAGUCGGAUUUGACUGAAAUUAGUAUGGUUAGACUUGUAAUCGAAUGGGUUAUUGGAAUUUGCAAUUUUAUCAGGUUUCGAGGUGCGGGUCUGGGUUUAACUUUUUGGUUGACUUUGAGUAAUUGAGUAAAGAUUCGACCUUUAUCAUUUGAGUUUGUUUCCUGUGGCAUUAUUUGAUGAUUUCAAGUUGCUUUUGGCUAGUUUUGAGUCGUUCGGAGGUUGAUUUGCGCGGGAUAGCAUUUCUAGAGUGUUGUUUGGCUUGCUCGGUAUUGGAUUUGGCUUGUUCGAGGUAAGUAACAUAUCUAAACUUGAAUUUGAAGGUAUUUAACCCUAGGAACUAUGUUAUAUGAGAUGUAUUGGGGUGACGGGCGUGUGGGCAUGCACCGGAGUAAUCAUGAUCCGAGUUGUCUUUUAGACUAUUACCGGACUUGUUUUUCUAUCAUACCUUAUUAUAUCUGUGUUUUCCCUACCUGUUUGAUUAUCUUAGCUGUGAUUCAUGUUAGAAAUCAUGUUUAGGCUAUGUGCUUAUGUAGUUGAAACCUAAUGAGGCUAUUUCUGUUGUUUUGAGAUAUCUGAAUUAACUGUGGUUAUACACUAAGUCAUAAUUCUUCAUUUGUAUAUCAUAUCUCAGUCUCUGUUCAUUAUUAGAUGUUACAUCACACGUUGUUGUUGUUGUCCAUAUGUGGUAUUGUUUGGGCUGAGUGAUAUGAGAUUGUGAGACCUUGAGACUUGAGAGGUUGAUGACUGAGAUGGGCCUUAGAGCCGUAUUGAGAAUGUUAUUUGGAUCGGGCUGCAUGCCGCAGCAGGCCAUAUUGGCUUUAUUAUUAUUACAUGGAUCGGGUUGCACGCCCCAACAUACCUUAUUGGCUUUAUUAUUAGUGUGGAUCGGGCUGCACGUUGCAGCAGGCCAUAUUGGCUUUUGAUUAGCGCUUGGGCAGGAUCCACCCCUUCAGAGUCUGAUAUAACAGCAGUAAGCGUAGGCAAGCUGAUACAUAUACACAUGCUUUGGUGAAGGGCUUACGAGCCAGGCACUCGUACAGUGCUGAGUGAUUUUGUGUGUGUGUGAUGAAGUGGGCAAUUAGAAACAGACAACUAGAGUAUGUUGAGAGUGAGUACCUGGUGAUACCAUUGUGAAAUCAUUCAUUUGACAUGCAUACUUGGCAUGUAGGCAUAGAGAUGCAUUUUUCUAAUGCUGGACGGUAUAUGAUAAUUGAUGACUUGACAUGUAUAUUGACAUGUAGGCAUAGAGAUGUAUUUUCCUCGUGCUAAUUGGUAAACGAAAAUCCUUAUAUGGUGUUAUGAAUUGGGAAUACAGUUAUUUUGAUAAACUCAUAUUUAGUUGAUUUUCAGUUGUAAUAUCUAGACUUGACUGUUAUACUUGGAAAGCAUUUCUACUUUUGUGUAACUGUGAACGAGCUGAGCAUGAUAUCUUUUGAGUCGUUACUUUUACUGCCUCCAUUAUAUUAUUAUGAGUUGAUAUUGGCUAUUGGUGUUGUACACUGACCUUCUUCCGAGCUCAUCACUGCUUUCAACCUAUGGUUAUGUUUGUUACUUAUUGAGUACAUGGGGUCGGUUGUACUCAUACUACACUUCUGCACCUUGCGUGCAGAUUUUGGAGCUGACAUUGUUGUGUAUGGUAGGAGUUGGCAUUGAAGAUGUACCUACGUUUCGUUUAUAGCUGUCUCUUGUUCUUGGUAACUUUAGAUUUGUAAAUAUGUUUAUGUAUAUUUUGAACAGAUAAUGUAUUCGUACCAGCUUCGUAAAUUCUAAGUCUUAAAAGCUCAUGGCUUGUAUUACCAAUCCUUGAGAUUAUGUAUAGAAAGUUCAAAUAUUUUAUUUAUUGACUCUUGUUAUCCUAAUUGAGCUGUGAUGACUAUCAAUUGGCUUACCUAGCAGGUUGGGUUAGGUAACAUCACGACUAGCUGGAUUUUGGGUCUUGACAAAACUGUUCCUCCUCUAUUAUUUCAUCUUUCUCAGUUUCGGCCCCUACCUCCUAGUGAAUAUUUUCCUCUAUCUCAACUUCGUGGUGAUCCUCCACGUCAAGCUCGUCUUCACGAGCUUGGACCGAUUCUUUACCCCCUCGCUUCAAACUCCUCAUCCUCUCCUAGUUCCUCUAUAUGCAUUUCUUUAUUUUCGUCAGUCUCAUAGAAAUCAAUGCUCGUGAAACAAGAUAUUCUUUCUUAUCUAAAUCAUACACAUUCCAACCCUUCUUUCAAUAGGAAUAUCCCAUGAAGACACACUUAUGGCUUCGACUUGAAAAUUUAUCACCUUCUUCCCUAAGCUUCGAGAUAACAUAUCGAUCGAAGAUGUCUAUACUCAGGCAGUCAACCAUAUAAUAAGUCAUAAAGUGUUUUUCCAUACAAGAUUGAAGAUGGAGUUUGAUUAAUCAAGUGACAAGCCGUCAAACACAUUCCCCCAAAAAAUCAAUCAGUAAGUUACCUUGAAAGUGCAAGGCUCGGGCUACAUUCAAGAUAUGGCGAUGCUUUCUUUGCACUUUUCCAUUCUAUUGGGGUGUUCCUGUACAUGAAGUUUGAAAAACAAUCUCACAUUUCAGAAAAUAAUUACUAAAGCAUACAAACUAUGUUCCAUUAUUGCUCCUGAAGGUUUUAACUCACUUAUUGAAUUGUCUGUCUAUCAUAGCAAAGAAAUCUUCACAGUUUACACUACUUUUUUCUUAUCAAUCAAUACAAAAAUCCACAUUCUUAUCAAUCAAUACAAAAAUCCACACAGCACGCGGGUAAUCAUAUACGAUAGUCAAAAAUAUGAUGCACCACAAGACGAAGUUGUUCGAUAAGGUCCCCAGAAAUCACAAUGAAUCAACUUAAAGAUGCUAGAAGCUCUACUAUUACUCAAAAUGAAAUUUGUCUCCUGUUUGUUUAGCCCAAUGACAUACAUUGCAACUUUUAUUUAAAACAUCACUACUUUUUCUAAAAUCUACAACAAGAAUUAAUUUGGUCACUUGUAGAGAGGAUGACCCAAACGUCUUUGCCAAAGAUACAGCAAGCCCACAACACCAACCUUUAGGGCACAUACCCUCUGUUUGUUUCUGAAAUAACAGAGUCCAUCUUUCCGCUCACCCGCUCCAAUCAACAUCCUCGAGAUGUGGUCCUGCAUAAUACAUAAAAGUUUAGUGAAAAUCAUCAAAUAAUUUGAGUAAUCGAUUAAUUGAGAUAUAGAAAUCAAGUUGCAAGUUAAGACAGGAACAUAAAAAAUUAUUUUUAAGACCAAAUUUCCUUCAAGUUUCGUUGAACCUGUGAUGGUCGCUAUUGCAUUACUCCCAUCAGGCAAACUAACAGGCCAUCGCUUAAUCUUUUGCAAAUUAUGCAAUAAUUUUAAACAUCCUAUCAUAUGAUUCGCCGCUCCUGUAUCAAGGAUCCAAGAUACAUAAUUUUGCUUUCCGGUUAUCUUCUCAUUCGAACUUAUUUAUUGGUUAUUCAACAUAGAAAUCAACAUUUGUCACCGCUCAUUUCUCAACCCCGGAGGCCCAGCCUUUACUUCCCCCAUCACAGCUGUGAAGAUGCCACCUCUCAUAGUCUGUACAACAUUCGCGUGAUACGCAGCGCCAUGUCUGCGGCCUCUAUUCAUUCCACCCCUAUAAUGUUGUUAUUUUCCUCUACUGCGCCCACUUGAUUUACCAUCACCGUGAGGUCUGUCUCCCCACCAUUCUGGAUACCCAACAGCUGGAAGCAACUUUCUCAUGUCCAAUUCUCUCUUAGUAGGAGCAAGUUUUUUUGUCACUCACUUCAUUUCGACCUCUAUCGGGGAUGUUACUUGUACAGUAGAGGCUAUAACGUCACCAUCCCCAUCUGCCCCUCAAGCCAUCGUCUUCACAAGUUCUUGUACCAACUUCUCAUAAACUCAAUUCAAAGUUGGCAACAGAUCUUGAGCGAGCAAGUUCGACCUCACUGUUCCAUAUAGUGUUUCAUCUAACCCCAUAAGAAAAAGGUGCAUCUUCUCCUCUUCCUUUUUCUUUUCCAAGGUUGUACCAAGCUCGCAUGUGCACUUACCACAUGUGCAAGUUGGUAUUUGAUCAAAAUUAGCAAGUUUUUCCCAGAGUUUUGUUAAUUUUUCGUAGUAAUUAACUAUGGUGAUGCCCUUUUAUUUGAACUCCGCAAGUUUGGCCUUCAACUGGUGUAUUCUUGUACCAUUAGAGAUCGAGAAAUGUUCUUUAAUACUAGUCCAUAAAUCUUCAGCAACUUUCAUGUGUAGUAUAGACGAACACAAAGUAGGCUCAAUAGCAUUCCGAGUCUAUGAAACCAACAACGAGUUAAUGCUGCACCAUUCUUCAAGAUCUAGAGACUUCUCAUCUGGUCUCCUGAUUAUUCCGUCAAUAAGUCUGAACUUCUUCCUCCCCCUUAAGGCGGUCCUCAUGGACCGUGCCCUUUUAUCAUAGUUUUCUCCUUUCAAAGCCACAUGUGCUAUCAAAUCCUAGGAUUGUCAUUAAAUAUUAUGUAGUACGGAAAGAUGGCCUUUUGUUUGUUUCUUUCAUCACCACCACCACUAUUAGAGGUGACGUGUUUACCACUGUCCCCUAUCAUUGGUUUGUCACUACGAGAUUCUUAUGGUUUGGCUCGAUCUUGGCUCUAAUACAAAGCCAAACACACAAGAACACGGUGGCCAAGUGUGGAAGAAAGGCUUGCCUUCUUCUAUUGAUUAACAAGAAUAUAUAUACAAGUCAAGUAGUAAACCCUAGUCCUAACAAAUAUGGAAAACUAGUCCUAACAAAUAUGAAAAAGAAAAACUCGCCUAACAAAUAUGGAAAAGGAAAACGGAAAACCCUCCUAAAAAAUUUGGAAAAGGAAAACUCUCCUAGUCAUAAACAUACAAUAUAUUUACUAUCCAUAUGUACAUCCAAAUACACACGCCUUAAUAGAAGAUACAAAAAAGAUAAAGACUAAAACUUGUAAAAGAAAUACAUGGAGCAGUAGACUUGCAGUGCAGUAUGAUUUGCUCAUUUAACUAAAAAGAUAUGAAGAAAAAGCAAGUUUGUUAAGGUAGACAAGUGUAACGACCCGAUCCGUCGUUUCGAGCAUUUGCAUUCAGUUCGGUGAUUUGAGGUCAUGAGUAGCUUCAUAUGGUGUAUUAUAACUUGCGUGUAUGGAUGGUUUUGGUAUUCGAAUUAUUCGGAAUUAAUUUGGAAGAAUGAUUUUUAAAUAGGAAGCUUUAAGUUGGAAGAGUUGAUCAAGUUUGUCUUUUGUGUAUUUGACAUUAGAUCAGAUUUUUUAUAGUUAUGUUAGGUCCGGAUGGUGAUUUUGAACUUGGACGUAUGCCUGGAUUUGAUAUUUGGAUAUUGCUACAAGGUUUUGGCACUAUUUGGCGAAAGUUGAUAAUUUAAAGGUUUGGAAUAUUCAUAAGUUUGACCGAGAGUUGACUUUGAUGAUAUCAGGUUUGGAUUUUGUUCCGGGAGUUGUAAUUGGUGUGUUAUGUCAUUUGGAACUCGUGUGUAAAAUUUGAGGUUACUCCGAGUUGACUUGAUAUGGUUCGACACGAGUUUUGGAAGUUGAAAGUUUAAAAGUUCAUUAAGUUUCAUUUGAGAUACGAUUUGUAGUUUUGAUGCUAUUAUGUGUGAUUUGAGGACGCGAGUAGGUUCGUGUUGUGUUUUUAGGACUUGUUGCUAUGUUCGGACGGGGUCUCGGGGGCCUCAGAUGUGUUUCGGAUUCAUUUCGGAUUCAUUUUGGGCUAUGUUUCCUUGCUGAAGAAUUUGUAGGUUCUGGUGUUUCCGCAUCUGCGGAGGGUUGGCCGCAGAUGCGGGAUCAUGGUCGCAGAAGCAAAGAAUGAUGGAGGAUGGGAUGUCCGCAGGCGCGGAAUGUUGGGCGCAUCUGCGUAACCACAGAAGCGAUGGACUAGGCACAGAAGCGAGAAGCUAGAUGUGGGCUAAGCGCAGAAGCGCGAUGUGCCACGCACCUGCGAUGUCGCAGAAGCUGAAGUGUUUCUACAUGUGUAUGAGGUCGGGGCUUCAGUGUUGUCCGCAGAAUCGGAGUUUUUAUCGCAGAAGCGGCUAUUGGACCGCACAUGCGAGGGUGCCUGGGUAGGUUCUAUAUAUUCAAGGGUUGAGUUAUUUUAUUCAUAUUUUGAGUUGGAGAGCUUGGAUUUGGGCGAUUUUGGAGGAGAUUUUCACCACAUAGAUUAAGGUAAGUAUUUUUGACUCAGUUUUGAUUAUAUUCCAUGAUUCCAUCUUUGAUUCUGACAUUUUGAUUAUAAAUUUAAAAGAGUAAUGGGGGGGAGGGGUUGUCUAAUCAUUCCUAAAGUAAAUUAUUGAGUUCUGAACAUCGAUUCGGAGUCGGAUUUAAGUAAAAUUAGUAUGGUUGGACUCGUAUUCGAACGGGUUGUCAAAAUUUGUGAGUUUUGUCGGGUUCAAAGGUGCGUGCUCGGGUUGACGUUUUGGUUGACUUUGAGUAUUGGAUUAAAGAUUUGACCUUUAUCGCUCGGGUUUGUUUCCUUUGGCAUUAUUUGAUGAUUUGAGUUGCUUUUGGCUAGUUUCGAGCCGUUCGGAGGUCGAUUCGUGCGGGAUGUUGUUUCUAGAGUAUUGUUUGGCUUGCUCGGUAUUUGAUUUGGCUUGCUUGAGGUAAGUAUCUUACCUUAACUUGGUUGAGGCACUAGUUGCCAAGGUUAUUUGUAAUAGCUACGUGAUAUGGGUGCUCAUAUAUGUGAGGUUUGAGCCCAUGUGCAAACACCGGGGUAUUUAUCCAUGCUCGGGGUAGUGCUUAAGCCAUGACAUGCCUUGAAUUGAUUUUCUAAGCCCUAUGUUGUGAUGUUUCUCAUAUUUGUAACCCUGUUGUAAACUAUUUUAUCCAUGUUAGAGGUUAUAUAGAGGCCAAUCCCCUUAAUGAACUUGAUAAUUUCAAUUUCCAUGAUGCAGCUGCCGAUAUGAGCUAUGAUAGCAUACUUUGGCACAUGCAUACACCUUAGCAUAUUAUUUAUACCAGUCCCGGGGCAUAAAAUCUUAUAUUCAUUGAUCAUAUACAUGCAUUCUUGUAUAUUUACUUCUGUGUGAUAUGAUUUGGACUGGAUGCAUGUGACCACGCCGAGCGGAUUGUGUUGUUAUGCCAGUGAACAUAUCGGGAGGAUUGUGUUGUUAUGCAUGUGACCACGCCGAACGGGUUGUGAUAUAUCCUGUGACAAUACCAGGCGGAUUAUAAUAUUGAGCAUGUGACCAUGCCAGGUGGAUUAUGAUAUUGAGACUGCGACCAUGCCGGACUGAUAUCACGUUGAAUUGGUCAUGCUACGUGUGGAUACGGAUCCAUCUCCCUAGGGUCAUCCUCUCAUGUGCCUUCUUGAUGGUGUACACGCGGGUUGUGAGAAACCUACACGUUUUUGGUUGAUGUGAGCUCUAGGAGAGCUGGUUACUGGUUUGGUUUGAUUACUCAGGGUCAGAGAGCCGUAAUGUGAUUUCUAUUUGGAUCGGGUUGUGCGCCGCAAUGAAUUGAUAUUUGAUUAUUGCAUUUCUUCUUUAAUUGCAAUAUUCCUUGGAUGUUUAUCUGAUUUAUUUGCAUAUCUUCCCUUUAUGCUGGAUUAUUGACUGAGCAGAGUAUGUUAAGGAUAUUUUGUGCUCCAAUGUGGUCUUAUCUGAAAUUUCAUGAUUCGUUCAUAUUACUGUGAUGUACUUGUUGGAAAUUAUAAACCGUUCAGGUAAUUGACGAGUAUCAUUUAUAAUUAUUGCUUCUAUUAACUCGCCGAUGUUAGUUAUGAUACUUAUUUAGUACAUGGGGUCGGUUGUACUCCUACUAUACUUCUGCACAUUGCGUGUAGAUCUUGGAGCUGAUGUUGUUGUACAUGGCGGGAGUUGGCAUUGAAGAUGAACCUGUUUUCCGGAUAUUGCUGCCACUUGUCCUUGGUAGCUUUAGACUUAUAAUCUAUUUAUGCACAUUCCAAAUAGAGGUUGAAUUUAUUCCAGCUUUCUAAAUCUACAUCUUAGUGGCUCAUGACUUAUACUUCCAAUCAUUGGGUUAUUGUAUAAAGAUUCAGUUAUUUCAUUUAUUGAUUCAUAUUAUCCUCAUUUGAUUUGUGUUUAAUGUUAUUUGUCUUACCUAGUGAGUUGGGUUAGGUACCAUCACGACUAGUUGGAAUUUGAGUCGUGACAAGUUGUUAUCUGUAACACCCCAAAAACUUUCCAAGUAUUUAAGUGCAAAGCCCGGUAAAAUUUCGCAAAUGAAUUCAAGGUUUCGUGGUGCCGGAGUAGGCUUACGUGUGAGGAUUGAACAAUGCACUGAGGACUAAAGGAAAAUUUUUGGCAGAGAAAUGCAUUUCUGCGGUCCAUUAUGUGAUCGCAGAAUCACUCUGCGAGCCGCAUAAUGGCCGUAGAGUGAGGCAGGUAUGGGCAAGUUUGGAUGCCAUUCUACGAUCGACUAUGCGACCGCAGAACAGGUCUGCGGGCCGCAUAGUGACCGCAAACCCAGGCAGAUAUUUUCCCAGUUCUUGAGGCCAAUUGUACGGUCGAUCUCGAAUUUUAUCUAGAAUUGGGUAAUUUGUAAGAUAAUGUUUAGGCAUGGGAGUUGGUUAUUUUGCAUGCAUGUGUUAUCAAGGAGUGUAGGAAAAUUGUUGAGCUAAAAAUGGUAAAGAAUGGGUCGUGGGAUGAUGGAAUCCUCCAUAAAAGGGACCUUAAAACCUUAAUGCACACCUAGUAUUUGAUAAAAUGCUAAAAUGAGCUAGAACCAUGAUCAUCUUCCUAAUUUUUGUUCAAUUUAUUAUAUUUCUAAAAUAGAUCGAAGUUGCUACGAAUUUUGGAAUAUUUUAGAGUUUAAGGAAGCUCCAUUGAGGUAUGUUGGCUAAACUUUCUCUCUUAGAAUCGAAUUCCAUAAUGUUCUCGUAAGUUCAAGUAUGGUUGGCUCAAGAUUUCUAACUUCUAUAUUUCGGGUUAUCUUCUAUAAACUUGACUAUUCCGAAUGAGCCUUAUAUCGAAAGAUAUAUGUUCAAAGUAUGGUUUGCGUAUUAAAAUGUUAUGACUUUGAGUCGUGUUUUAAAUGAAAACUAGUAUACCAACUGGGUGAGAAAAACUCGAUGUGCUUAAGACUCUAAAUUGCCCAUAUGUGUACGUAAAGUAUUGAUUGGAAAUAUCUUGUUGUUGAUAAUCUAUAAAGAUGCUUGAAACUGAAAUAAGUGAAUUGGGGAUAUAGAGUGUGGCCAACGUGCCAAGAAUUUAAAUUAUGAUUGUGGCUUAGUAGUGCAAAUGAAAUAAGAGGAUGCGAUAAAGAAUAUGAAAUGAGCCUCGACUCAAUUGUUUAAAAAUAUUUUCAAAAAUAGAAUUGUCUAAAAGAUUUUGUACUCAAUUCAUGCCCAUAAGUGGUUGCUUCAACUAAUGCUUUGCUUUAUAAAUAUAUCCAGUGUGAUUCGAGUUCUUACAUACUCAGGUGUUGAAAUUGUACACUGUCAUUUCUGGGGAAGAGUAUUGUAAGAAUAAAUUGUGUAUUGAUUGUUUAUGAUUUUGAUGUGUGUUUCUAUUGCUGGUUUGUAUGCCCCAUUCUUUGGGAAGAAACCUUUUGUGUUUAAAGUUCUCAUUACAAAUGGAUUUAAAGUAUAUGAUUUCUGAAAUAUCAUGUAUGUUGAUAUUUGAUGGUGGUCCUUGAAAAUAAAUGAUGUGAAAGUGUGGAACAAGAAAUACGGCCACCGUGCCAGGAAUAAAGAAUCUUGUAAAUGGCCAAAUGAGCCAAGGAAAUAUUGUUGUUGUGAGUGACUGGAAUACUAAUGAGAAUUUAUAAAAUGUGAAAGAGGUUGAGGUGAGUACAAUUGUAUUUAUGUUACCUUUGUGUGCAAAUCAAAUAAUAAAAAUAUUUUUGGGAGAAUCAUUAGCAAAAUCGAGGAAGAGUGGGUCAUAAGGCCCACACCUGAAACUACAUGUGCCGGUGUAGGGGUGGAUUGUGAUUAUUCCCCUUAUUUGGGAUGAAAUUGAAAUAUUGGAGAAAUUGUGAUAUUAUUCCCCUUAAUUGGGAUAAAACUGGUAACAAUUGUGGAUUGGAAAAGUCAACCCACACGGCAUAUGUGGGAAGGCGGGCUAGCUGAUCGGGUAGAGAUCGGACGCCAUGUUGCGCACAUGGUGGUACUACUCUUGAUAACAACUUUCUUUCGCAUCACUUGUCAAACCACAUUGUUCGUGGGGAGAUGGCCUAGACGAUCGGGAGUGAUCGGACUCCGUCUUAACAAAGAGAGUGGUAUAUCGGUGCUAAUGAUCUCCCAACCAAAAUUGUAUAUGAAGUUCAUAUUUUGCAAAUUAUUAUGUUUUAACUGGACAUUUGGAUAUUGUUGAUUGUGACUUGCUAUUUCUAUGUGUUGCAUUUUCUUAUAUGGGCAUUCUAUUUUGAAAGAGGACUUUUAGCUAUACAUACUAGUGUUAUUCGACAGUACUAAUGUCCCUUUUGCCGGGGGCGCUGCAUCUUUAAUAGAUGCAGGUGGUUCUACAGCAGGCGGCAUUGAUCAGUGAUAGCCGUACACUCUUUUCAGCUGAUUUGGUGAGCCCCACUUUAUUUCGAGGUCAUGUAUCUUUUGUUUCUCAUACACUGUGUCUUGAGGUAUAGCCGGAUCCUUGUUGCCGGCAUUUCCAUAUUACUCUUCUAUUGUACUUAGAGGCUCCAUAGAUAGGUUGUGGGUUGUUGUGGAUGUUGGGAAUUGAACUAGAAAUGUUGGUAUUUAGAAAUCAUAUUUUUCAUUAAUUCUAUAAACUCGUAAUAUUUUGGAAAUUACGAAUGAAGCUGCUAAUGGGAAUGAAAAGGAAGUUGUUAAUAAAAUCUUUCCAGUGUUUGAUUAAUGGAGUACAUCUCCUCUUAUUUCAUGAAUGAGUUUGGGUAGAAGGAAUAUCUGACAGGCUUGCUCAGCCGGGUUACUCGGUUGAGCGCCGGUCGCGCUCCCUGAGUUUUGGGUGUGACAGUAUCAGAGCUCUAGAUUCAUAGGUUCUACGAGUCAUGAGCAAGUAUGCAAUAGAGUCUUGCGGACCGGUAUGAUGACGUCCAUACCUAUCUUCGAGAGGCUACAUGGCAUGUAGAAAAAUUUUGCAUCUUUCUUUCAUUAUCGUGCGGCAUUGAUUCAGCUUGAAGCGUAUCUCUUUGAAUUCCUUCCACUCACUUGUAUGUUAUGUUGAGCACUCAGUGUCGGUUGUGCGUUGUCGGCUAGUGAUGUCAUGGAUGAGGUGCGAGAUGUGUUUCAUACGUUUUGGUGAUGGGCUAGUCUGGAAGACUUGAGGUCGUGGUUCGGACCGCAACUUGGGCUCGGUGGUUUCAACUGGGUGAGUAUGUGCGUAUGGAAUUUUAUGUCCAGUAGGGUCCCUAAGAGUGGUAUUGCUGGCUGAGUGAGUUGUUGGGUAGCUAUAUGGUGAGUAUUAUAUGACUGAGGUAUGUGCUUAGACGGUUUAGAUGUCAUGCGAAGAGUUUGCUUGGUAUGUGAAAGGACUAUGGAUGCGCGAUUUCUGUGUCGAUGUGUUGUACAGUCUGGAGUUUUAAGUGUUUUGAGGGAUCCUUCAUGUUGAUCAUUUGUGGAAUGAGGUAGGUUCUUAUGUCUUGUUGAUGAGUUCAGACAAGGGAAGAUUCAGUGAUUGCAUAGUGGUUGUGUCCAUGAAAGGGAAUAGAGAAAUGCUAGUUUGAGGUUAAGUAGGGGGUUAUCUCUUGCUGGAUAUCCUGAGGUUGUGUGAUGCCUAUGAUGUUUUAUGGAGAGUUUUUUCUACAGGUGGGUUGUAUAUGUUGCAAUAUGAGUUUGGACCACUUGAGAAUGUUGGCUUGAUUGUCUUAAGGAUGAAUGUGAGUUUGGCAGAUGAUUUGAGGUACUUUAUGACUAGUGCUACAUGAAAUUAUGAGGGAUUUAAUUGAAUUACAGUGCGGGAUAAUGGCAGUUAUGAAGUAAAGGUAUUGUGGGUUAUUGAAUGAUAUUUUCUAUGGCUUUGAGCCAAGUGGGGGAGUCUGCUAUUGACGAUCAGGCUGCAUGGUUAUGUGCUACAUUAGUUUCGGUCUGAGGUAUGUUUGUGGAUCAAUUAUGACUUGGAGAGGUUGGUUUCGAGGAUGACUUGAGCAAGGAAUUCUAGAUGCAUGAUGUAUUACACUUUAUGGAUAUAUGGAAAUUUUGGAAUGAUUCGGGUUUAUGAUUCGUGAUGGAUGUAAUGUGCUAAGAAAGGGGAGUCACUCAGUUGCGCUUAGGUGGGGUUACUUCUUUGGGUGUUGGUGUGCUAAUUGGGGACAUGUCGUUCGGCUCAUUUUGGCGGUGCAUUUGAGAGUUGGAUAGAGUGGAUGACUCUCGAGAAAGUUCUAAUUGGUUCAAGAUUCAUAUGUGGUAUUUGAGGAAUCUCUGAAUUUGUUAAUGGCUAAGAUGUGAGAUUUGCAUUGGAUGGUGUCGGGACUCGCGGUGUUUCUGUAUCAUUAAGAAUUCUACAUUUUAGUAUCAUAAAGGUUAAGGGAAACAACUUUAGAUUCAUAUAAAGUCUCUUCAUAGUGGGUAUCUCGGUUGCGGUACUUUUGGGUGCUUAAGAGGGAAUACAGUGGCUUAUGGGCUUUAGGGCGACAUGAUUUCAUGCAAGGAUCUCUUUUGGUGAGUAUUAGGUUAAGGAUCGUAGUGUACUAGCAAGGAAAAAUGUUAACAUGAAGGCAAGUCGAGAGGAACUCGAAGGAAUAAGCCAGCUUAGUAGUGGUUUAGAUCGGCAUGGUAAUAGAAAUAAGCGGUUCUUUUGGUUCUCUUGGUGUGGCGAGGCUUUACAGGUGUUUUGUGACGAUACUCUUGGGUUUGGCGACCUGUGUGACUUGGUUAAGAUAGAGGGAUUUAGUAUUGAUGGCUUGGUCUUGUGCUAAUGGGUUUCAAAGAGUUCUCGAUGAUUUCUACCACUCAUUGGGACGAAUGUCUUCUACCGGCAUGAGGAGUAUAUUGUGUGUUGUGAUUCGCUCGUGGAUGGGGUCAAGUAGAAGGUUUCUAGAGGAUGGAAUGUGUGUUCUGCUUGUGAUUCGAGGUUAAUAAUAGAGUUUUCGUGUUUUUAUAUGAUGGCAUGAUAAAUACGGCGCAACAUGUGGAAUUAAGGUUUGCAUGUAAGAGGUUUUGGUUCUGUUCAAAGGGAAGGUCAUGAGUUCUAGACAGCAUGGACGGGUUUAGAUGUUUAGAAGAAUACUGGCACUAUUUGGUAUCACCUUGGAGGGUGCAUAUUUCAGAAGGCGCAUUGCAUUUUGUCUUGCGGAUGCUUGACUGUAUUACAGUAAUUACCUGGUUCUUGACUGCUGAUGUUCAAAUUUUACUAUGUGGUACGAAAGAAUAAAGUAGUUCUCGUGAGAUGAUUGUGCUCGAGAGAUGUGUCAGUUAUUGGGUGGUCGAGUCAGGAUCGGAUAUGAAGAUUUUUGUAUUCUCGUGAUUUGGAGACUAGAUGUCGCAGAGGUGGACUAUUUCUUGGUUGUGAACUAUGAAGGUAUGGCCAGAGUUAGAUAGCUGAUGGUAUGUGUUAUGGAUGGGUUUCAGUGGAUCUUUGGGAAGGUUAUCUACUCAUUUCGGAAGGAUCAAAAUCGAUUUGGAGGCCACCGGUAGGCCUAAUGAGGAUGUGUAUGUUACACCAGAUCAGAAUUUGGGUACUCAGUACAACGACCGUUGAGGGGUCUGUCAUUCGAUUAGAGUUGAUCUUAUUCAUUUUCUGAUAUUUUCAUGUGUUUCUCUUCUAUGCUACGAUGGGUUAUGAGAUUGUUGACUAUUUACACAUAUGAUGCGGUUCUAUUCGGGCCUUGUGGAGGAAUUCAAGCGAGAUGUCUCUUAGAGUGUUGAAUGGUUGAUUGCACCUUGGUUAUGGUCUUCCGGUUUGUGGUAUAUUUUGCUAUCCAUUUCUCCAUGGUUGUGAUCAUGCAUUUCGCGUAUUUGUUGUUGAUAUGCAUAUGGUUGUUGAUUGUCAGCAUCAUGGCUCAAGGUAUUCCAUGUGGACUGGUGUUUGGAUUGGGUCACGCAUCGUGAUGGAGUUAUGCUAGGAUAUGAUCCUUUGUACUUACUUCACGUGUUUUGUUCUCCUUGUGUGGUGGGUUCAUAUCAUUGCGCCUUGCGGUGGUAUUUGUUGAGCUUGCUGGACGGUUCUCUCAUUUGAUUCUCUUUCCCCUUAUUGGGUAUAUUUGACUUGUUGCUUGUUUGGUGCACAAAUUGUUGGGUAUGUGGCUCGAGGUGGUGCUAGUGUGGUGUGUUGGUCGAGCAGCUUGUACUAGAUGAGAUGAGGUUAUUGGGCCUGGAAUGAGUGCUAUCGGACUUGAUUAAAGUAUGUUUGGAAGAAUAAUGUCACUAGUCAGAUUAGAAUUUGACUUUUGUUCUUGUAGGGAGACAGAGAGCCCCACGACUUGUUGAUAUGAUGAGUGGUUAUGAGUUACUACAUAUUUCUUUCAUCAUUGGCAGUGUACGAAGGUUUUUGACAAGGUUUUAUUUGAUAUGAGGUUUGUUACCGGUGUCGGAUUUGUUAUUAGGCAGAUAUUAUAGUCGAAAGUAAUUGCUAUGAGUAUCCGAGUUAUGUGGUAUAUCAUGUGAUUAUAUCAUGGGUUGUGGUGAUGGCUUGAUACAACUUGUUCAGAUUUAUACAGUGUACAGAUACGAGAAUCGGAUAUUAUAAGGAGUUCCGGAGCUUGGGGAUUUGGGUUUUAAGGUUUAUGGACUAUGGUUGAAGUGAGGAUUUUCAGUUAGGUUGUAUUGUCAGGAUUAUAUGAAUUGUGGUGACGUGGUAUCACCCAUGGGUAGGUGCAUGAUGAGUUUAUUCAGUGACUUGAUAGCUUUGGAACGACUCUUGGCACGUUCGAGGACGAACAUAUAUUUUAAGUGGGGGAGAAUGUAACGACCCGACCGGUCGUUUCGAGCAUUUGCAUUCAGCUUAGCGGUUUGAGGUCAUGAGUAGCUUCAUAUGGUAUAUUAUGAUUUGCGUGUAUGGACGGUUUUGGUUUUCGAGUUGUUCGGAAUUGAUUUGGAAGAAUGAUUCUUAAAUAGGAAACUUUAAUUUGGAAGAGUCGAUCAAGUUUGACUUUUGUGUAUUUGACCUCGGAUCGGAGUUUUUAUGAUUUUGUUAGGUCCAGAUGGUAAUUUUGGACUUGGUCAUAUGCCCAGAAUUGCAUUUGAAUGUUUCUACACGGUGUUGGCACUAUUUGGCGAAAGUUGGCAAUUUGAAGGUUUGGAAUGUUCAUAAGUUUGAUCGAGAGUUGACUUUGAUGAUAUCUAGUUCGGAUUGUUAUUCCGAGAGUUGAAAUAGGUUUGUUAUGUCAUUUGGAACUUGUGUGCCAAGUUUGAGGUUAUUCCAAGUUGAUUUGAUAUGGUUCGACACGAGUUUUGGAAGUUGAAAGUUUAAAAUUUCAUUAAGUUUGAUUUGAGAUACGAUUCGUGGUUUUAAUGUUAUUAUGUGUGAUUUGAGGCCUCGAGUAGGUUCGUGUUGUGUUUUGGGACUUGUUGGUAUGUUCGUACGGGGUCCCGGGGGCCUCGGGUGUGUUUCAGAUUCAUUUCGGAUUCAUUUUGGGCUAUGUUGCCUUGCUGGAGAAUUUGCAUGUUCUGGUGUUUCCGCAUCUGCGGAGGGUUGGCCGUAGAUGUAAGACCUCCGAUGGGGGAUCAUGGUCGCAGAAGAGAAGAAGGCUGGAGGAUGGGAUAUCCGCAUAUGCAGAAUGUUAGGCGCAUCUGCGUGACCACAAAAGCGAUGGUUUGGGCGCAGAAGCAAGAAGCUGGUUAUGGGCUAAGCGCAGAAGCAGGAUGUGUCACGCACCUGCGAUGUCGCAGAAGCGAAAGCGUUUUGGAAAGUGUGUGAGGUCAGGGCUUCAGUGUUAUCCGCAAAAGUGGAGUUUUUAUCGCAAAGCGAUGCCGCAGAAGCGACUGUUGGACCGCACAUGCGACGGUGCCUGGGCAGGUUCUAUAUAUUCGAGGGUUGAGUUAUUUUAUUCACAUUUUGAGUUGGAGAGCUUGGAUUUGGGCGAUUUUGGAGGGAAUUUUCACCACAUGGAUUGGGGUAAGUAUUGUUUUACUCGGUUUUGAUUAUAUUCCAUGAUUCCAUAUUCGAUUUUGGCAUUUUGAUUAUGAAUUUAGAAGAGAAAUUAGGGGGGGUUUGUCUAAACUUUCGUAAAGUGAAUUAUUGAGUUCUAAACAUCGAUUUGGAGUCGGAUUUGAGUAAAAUUAGAAUGGUUGGACUCGUAUUCGAAUGGGUUAUCAGAAUUUGUGAGUUUUGUCGUGUUCCGCGGUACGGGAUCGGGUUGACUUUUUGGUUGACUUGGAGUAUUUGGUUAAAGAUUCGACCUUUAUCAUUUGUGUUUGCUUCCUUUGGCAUUAUUUGAUGAUUUGAGUUGCUUUUGGUUGGUUUCGUGCCGUUCGGGGGUCGGUUAGCGCGGGAUAGCGUUUCUAGAGUAUUGUUUGGCUUGCUCGAUAUUUGGUUUGAAUUGCUUGAGAUAAGUAUCUUUCCUAAACUUGGUUGAGGCACUAGUUACCUGAGUUAUUUGUGAUAGCUACGUGCUAUGGGUGCGCAUAUAUGUGGGGUUUGAGCCCAUGUGAGAGCACCGGGGUAUUUAUCCAUUCUUAGGCUAUGACAUGCUUUUAAUUGAUUUGCUAAGCCUUAUAUUGUGAUGUUUCUCAUAGUUGUAACCAUGUUGUGAACUAUUUGAACCAUGUUAGAGGUUAUAUUGAGGUUAAUCCCCUGAAUAAACUUGAUAAUUUCUAUUUCCGUGAUGAAAUUGUCGAUUUGAGCUAUGAUAGCAUACUUUACACAUGCAUACACCUUAACAUGUUAUUUAUACUCGUCCAGGAGCAUGAAAUCUUAUAUUCAUUGAUCAUAUACAUGUAUUCUUGUAUAUUUUCUUAUGUGUGAUACGAUUUGGACUGGAUGCAUGUGACCACGCCGUGCGGAUUGUGUUGUUAUGCAUGCGACCAUGCCUAGCGAAUUGUGUUAUUAUGCAUGUGACCAUGUCGAGCGGGUUGUGUUGUUAUGCCCGUGACCACGCCAGGAGGAUUGUGUUGUUAUGCAUGUGACCACGCCGGACAGAUUGUGUUGUUAUGUCUGUGAUCACGCCGGGUUGAUUGUGUUGUUUCCUGUGACUACGCCGGGCGGAUUGUGAUAUUGAGCCUGUGACCACACCGGGCGGAUUAUGAUAUUGAGCAUGUGACCACGUCGGGCUGAUAGCACGUUGAAUUGGUCGUGCUACAUGUGGAUACGGAUCCAUCACCCAAGGUCACCCUCUCAUGUGCCUUCUUAAUGGUGUACCCGCGGAUUGUGAGAAAUUGACAAUUUUUCUGGUUGAUGUGAGCUCUGGGAAAGCUGGUUACUGUUUUGGUUUGAUUACUGAGAUUCUGAUGUGGGCCAAAGAGCUGUAAUGUGAUUUCUAUUUGGAUCGAGUUACGCGUCAUAAGGGAUUGAUAUUUAAUUAUUGUAUUUCUUCUUUAAUUGCUAUAUUCCUUGGAUGUUUAUCUUAUUUAUUUGCAUAUCUUCCCUAUAUGUUGGAUUGUUGGAUUGUUGACUGAGUAGAGUGCAUUAAGGAUAUUUUGAUCUUCAAGGUGGUCUUAUCUAAAAUUUCAUGAUUCGUUCAUAUUAAUGUGUUGUACAUGUUGGAAAUUAUGAACCGUACAGGUGAUUGGCGAGUAUCAUUUAUAAUUCUUGUUUCUAUUACCUCGCCGAGGUUAAUUAUGAUACUUAUUGAAUACAUGGGGUCGGUUGUACUCAUACUACACUUCUGCACCUUACCUGCAGAUCUUGGAGCUGAUUUGUUGUGCAUGGCGGGAGUUGGCAUUGAAGAUAUACCUGUUUUCCUGUCACGACAAAAAAUCCCAUCAUGAGUAUCGUGAUGGCACCUAGUCCCGAGGACUAGGUAAAUCUAACACAUGCUGAGUUAUUAACAUAUUUAAAUCAUUUAAUCAUUAAACGUAAAUCGGUAACUGACAUACAUAGCUAAGUCGCAAAAACUCAAAUGGGUUCUGCUAAGAUUAUGUAUUAGGAGGAAUGGAUUUCAUACUUUAGAAGAAUAAAUGUCAUAAAAAACAAUUAACUUGGGAAGGUUAGCACAUGUUGCUAAUAUAACAUAUUGCUUUAACAUUCCAAAUACCUAUUGUUGUCCUAAAGAAUUAAAGAGAACACAUUUGUUUCUUUAAAUCUGUACGAGGCCAAAAGAUGAAAAGAAAAUAUCAAAUUUCCGCUAAUUUACAUGAUAAAAUCUGCAAUAGAGAAAGCAGUUUCAAUUCCAUAAAUCACAAUUUAGAAGGUUAUAAAUAAUGAGAAGGAUGAACCAUGCAACACGAUUACAAUCUUAGACCUACCACAUUAUAGGGGUUGAGAAUCCGAGAGGGGUAAUCUUUAAAGACAGAGAGAAAAAUCAACCAUGCAACACGAUUACAAUUCAAAUAUCAAACGAAGAAGCAAAUAUUGAAAGAUAGAUUAGCAAUCAAACAGAUAAUCAACAAAAGGGGAACAAAAAAAAGAAAAAUAAAUGAAGAAUAAAAUGACCUCAUUUGAAAGUGGUCAACUGGCUCUUCGUGAUCUCUUUUUUCACAUUUAUCUUCGACGUCAAAUUUCACAUUUCUCAAGUUCACAAUAGCGUAUGUGCAAACAGCUUUUGGAGUUUCUUAACCGAGAGAGAGAAAGGUGGAGAGUUAAAAUGGUGAGACAGAUUUGAUGUAGAAGAAAGAGAAAGAUUUACAAAAUAGUCUCAAACUUGCCUUAAUUUCUGGAAACUUACGGAUCAACUACAGUAAUAACAACAAAGCCAGGAGAAAAUGCACAUGAAUAAUAGCGAAAUGGCUUGGUUUAUUUGGUCUGGCAAGAUGAUGUUAAAUCUUUUCAGGCGUCAAGUACAACCGUUUGAAGCUACACAUCAUAUGUUAUUACCAGUUUACCCUUGGUCGUACUCUACUUCCUUAGCUUCAUAUCACCUAAAAAUUUCUAUGGUAUAAACAAAAUUAGAUAAUUGAGCUUACCCGUAGUGUUAACUGUUAAGUGCUCAAUCCUCAAUGGACCAAAUAAAAAAUGCAUACCUGCAAAGUCCAAUAAUAAUGAACCUUCAAAAGAUGAAUUAUAGAAACACACGAAUCCAGAAAUUAUAGAAAAAUCAGCGGAAGUUCAGUGCAAUUCAAAUAAAUUCACAGACAGAAAAUAAAAUAUCACCUCCACAUUAUUCCAAAAUAAGCAAAAGAAAAUUCAAACUUCUCACAUGCCGCAACAUUAGACAACUGUUUGUAGAGUUCACAUGCCGUAACAUGCAGUGAAAGAAUUAGAUUUAUUUUCCUGUACAGCAAAGAUAGCACAGAACACAUAGAACGCAGAGCCAAAGAACAAUAUGACGGCAGAGACUAAAUCUGAAAUGUCUAAAUCACUUAAACUGACAUCCAUUAACAUUACAGAGAGGAUUAAGGCUCAUAGUUUACUGCAUUUGAAGAAGAUGACCACGCAAUUACAGAUCGAAACCUUGAAAUUUCUAGAAAAAAAUUAAAAAGGAAGAAAAUCAAUUACCUCUAACCACAUGCAUCAAAAUCUUAGAAGUUGUGAAAAAUUCCCUCCGUAUGAUCUUAGAGAAAAAAGCACCAAAAUCCAAAACCAACAGGAAAAAUUAAACCGAAGCUCACCUGCAACAGGUAAAUCCAAUCGGAACAUGAGAACAAAAACAAUGCCCGCUUAAGAAAAAGGUGAGAGCGAGAUAAAAAUUGAAAUUUAAUGACCAAAAAAAAGGCGAACUUCGAGUUGCAGAGAAUGAAAAAGAAAUAGAGUGACGAAUAAGAAAUAUGGCAAAAUCAGCUGAGGCUUGUGAAACUCAGUGGGACCCUAGUAGACUGUAGUGGAAUCCAGCUAUAUCCAACAAAAUGUUCCAUCACGUGUCACCUAGAAAGAAG